UGGGGAAUAUUGCACAAUGGGCGAAAGCCUGAUGCAGCAACGCCGCGUGAGUGAUGAAGGCCUUCGGGUUGUAAAGCUCUGUCUUUUGGGACGAUAAUGACGGUACCAAAGGAGGAAGCCACGGCUAACUACGUGCCAGCAGCCGCGGUAAUACGUAGGUGGCAAGCGUUGUCCGGAUUUACUGGGCGUAAAGGAUGCGUAGGCGGAUUUUUAAGUGAGAUGUGAAAACCCUAAGCUUAACUUGGGGACUGCAUUUCAUACUGGAAAUCUAGAGUGCGGGAGAGGAGAAUGGAAUUCCUAGUGUAGCGGUGAAAUGCGUAGAGAUUAGGAAGAACACCAGUGGCGAAGGCGAUUCUCUGGACCGUAACUGACGCUGAGGCAUGAAAGCGUGGGUAGCAAACAGGAUUAGAUACCCUGGUAGUCCACGCCGUAAACGAUGAGUACUAGGUGUAGGAGGUAUCGACCCCUUCUGUGCCGUAGUUAACACAAUAAGUACUCCGCCUGGGAAGUACGAUCGCAAGAUUAAAACUCAAAUGAAUUGACGGGGUCAUAGCUGUUUUCCU
rnacentral:rRNA from 1 species